rnacentral:rRNA from 1 species
CCCUACGGGGCGCAGCAGGCGCGAAAACUUUACAAUGCGGGAAACCGUGAUAAGGGGACACCGAGUGCCAGCAUCAUAUGCUGGCUGUCCGGAUGUGUAAAAUACAUCCGUGAGCAAGGGCCGGGCAAGACCGGUGCCAGCCGCCGCGGUAAUACCGGCGGCUCGAGUGGUGGCCACUUUUAUUGGGCUUAAAGCGUUCGUAGCUGGGUCGUUAAGUCUCUUGGGAAAUCCGGCAGCUCAACUGUCGGGCGUCUAAGAGAUACUGGCGAUCUUGGAACCGGGAGAGGUGAGGGGUACUUCGGGGGUAGGAGUGAAAUCCUGUAAUCCA